UACGGAGGAUGCGAGCGUUAUCCGGAUUUAUUGGGUUUAAAGGGUGCGUAGGCGGCUUUUUAAGUCAGCUGUGAAAUUUUGCAGCUUAACUGUAACAGUGCCGUUGAUACUGGGGAGCUAGGAUUUGGUUGCUGUGGGUGGAAUGUGUGGUGUAGCGGUGAAAUGCUUAGAGAUCACACAGAAUAUCAAUUGCGAAGGCAGCUCACAAAGCCAAGAUUGACGCUGAGGCACGAAAGUGUGGGGAUCAAACAGGA
rnacentral:rRNA from 1 species